GUAGAUGUAGUUCAAUGGUAGAAUAUCUAUUUGUGGCAUAGAUUGUUCUUGGUUCGAAUCCAAGUAUUUACC
rfam:Triticum urartu cultivar G1812 contig140066, whole genome shotgun sequence.